CACGUCAGUAUCUUCUUGUACGUUGCUCCGAGACGACCAAGCACGCUACCGUCUCUUUUUUAACUUUUUUUUUCUUCAUGUUUUAAAAAUGUCUCUCCGUUAUGAUUAACGGCUUUUAAUAAUCGUUUUAACUAUUUGACUAUUUUGUAUUGUUAUUAGUCUUUAGCUUUAUGCUUCAUUCAUGCGCAUAAUUCUUCAUUUCACUUUGAAUUUGCUUUUCGAAGUAUAGGCGAAUGUCUUUUGUCCACUAAGGAUGAACCAAUUAUUAGCCUUCUUGGUUACAAUAGUCAAAUAAAUGCUGUUUUCAACAUGUAUCCUAAGAAAAUCUAAACAUCUUUUUUUUUGUCAAAAGAAAAGCAUCAUGAUAUUCUUUUGUACUGCUUAACAUUUUUUAAUUCAAAUAGUUGAAUAUAUAUUCCUCCACACGUAAUUCACACACACAAUGUAUAUGUUGUAAUAAUGAACAGCGUGUCAAAUGGAUAAAUAUAAUUACAAAUACACUAAUCUUUUAAAACCAUGAACAAAUCUAUUGACUAGGAUUUUAAUAUAGCUGUUUAGUUUGUACUAUAACAGAAUCAUGUAGAUUUAUGUUUCAAAUUGAUGAUUUCAGUUUUUUAUAAUUGCAAGUUGUAAUAUGAACGUGAAAUAACAAAUAAAAAAAUGGAGUUGCUAAUUAAGAAUGAGUUUGUUUAAUAUGUAAAGUCAAAACAUGAGUUUUGAAAGCAAUUACGGUGGUAAAGUCAAAGGAAACCUUAAUACAUUUCCUAGUUUGUUUCUUGUACAUCACGAACAACAAGAAAGAAAUAAAACUGUGUUCACACAACGGA